rnacentral:rRNA from 1 species
UACAGAGGUCUCAAGCGUUGUUCGGAUUCAUUGGGCGUAAAGGGUGCGUAGGCGGCGUGGUAAGUCGGGUGUGAAAUUUCGGAGCUUAACUCCGAAACUGCAUUCGAUACUGCGGUGCUUGAGGACUGGAGAGGAGACUGGAAUUCAUGGUGUAGCAGUGAAAUGCGUAGAGAUCAUGAGGAAGACCAGUGGCGAAGGCGGGUCUCUGGACAGUUCCUGACGCUGAGGCACGAAGGUCAGGGGAGCAAACGGG